UACGUAGGUGGCAAGCGUUGUUCGGAAUUAUUGGGCGUAAAGGGCGCGUAGGCGGUCGGUUAAGUCAGCUGUGAAAGCCCGGGGCUCAACCCCGGAAGGUCGGCUGAUACUGAUUGACUAGAGUACGGAAGAGGUAGCUGGAAUUCCCGGUGUGGCGGUGAAAUGCGUAGAUAUCGGGAGGAACACCUGAGGCGAAGGCGGGCUACUGGGCCGAUACUGACGCUGAGGCGCGAAAGCCAGGGGAGCAAACGGG
rnacentral:rRNA from 1 species